AAACAAAAGAGAACAGGUGUAGAAUACAGUAUUUUCAAUUGGCCACCAAGAGUUGCAUACAAAUGCCCUCCCCUCCCAUCUAACACAGACAGACCCCGUCAUCAGGCCUCAUCUGUGACAUUUUCAAAAGAGGAUGCUUAUGCACAAAGGAGCUUAUGAGGAGCUUUUAUGCUGAGGUCUUGAUGGUCCUUUGGAAAGCCAUCCCUUGUUCGGCUUCAGUCCAAGGUUUUGAUGGCAAUGGUACUGAUCCUACUUCUGAGCUCCAGAGUUAAAUAUAAGACCUAGGCCUGACAAGAAUGUUCCAUCCUUUUGGCCACCAGACGACUCCGGGGUAUGGACAAAUGACAGAAGUCAGUAAUAAGAGAUGCCAUGUUGGGACUUAAGUGGAACUAUUAGAGAAGAAAGAUUCCCUUUGCACUGGGGUGGAGACAUGUAAGUCUAACAUGGCCAGAGGCUGCUCUGUACAAACAGGCAGAGGGCCUGCUUGAGCGAGAAGACCACACAGACAGCAAAUCCCAGAAACUGACGGCAAGAGAAACACAGACAGACCAAACCAGCCAAGUCCUGAUGUUCCAUCUUACAAAUUCAGCCAGGCCCAAUGCUCCUGAACUUCUCAAUUCCAUGAAUCAAACUUUUUUUUUUCCCCUUGAGCUUUAAGGCAUUUUGAAAUGGAUUUUUGUCAACUGCAAUAGAAAAGGGUUCUGAACAACAAAAGGGUUCUGGUGAUGAUAUUGCCAACUAUUUGGCCCAUAGCAGGCUUUCAACAAAUGUGAGUUCUCGUUCUCUUCCUUGGUCAAAGAAUGUGGGUCAAAUAGAAAGGACAGUGAUAGUACCUACCGUACAGAUCUGUUGUGAGAAUCACAUGAGUUGGUGCCACCCAAGUGCUUGGCACAGUGCCUGGCACUCAAAAGGACUCACUGAACAUUAGCACUAACACCACUGUACAGCGGGAGACUUGGAAGAGACAGAAUUCAGAGACCUUGAGUGUAGUUUUCCACUAUUUCAUGAACCUAUUAAGUUGUAGUAUCAACAACUUGGAGAAAACACACUCAAAAAUCAGAAUAACUGCAAAGGGCCAUUCCUUGGUUGUGGUAGAAAAUGCUGCCACAGUGAGCAGGUUUGAACCCCCCGGUGCCAGGCCUGCCUCCUGAAGAAAUGAUCCAGAAGGUUUUGAUCUGCCUCAAUGCUCUACUUAUGUCAAGUCUGUUUGCCAAUCAUCCAGUCUUACUGUGCCUCAAAAGGCAGAAGAAAAGCACUGUUGUUCUAGCUAAAAAACUGCAUUGCCAAAGGGAAACGCAUGUCUCCUCUGUAUUUACCAAUUUUCUAUGUGAGCUCCCCAAUGCUUUCUUCUUUCGCAUUAAUAAUAAUUUUUUAAAAGUUGGACAGAAAAAAGGUCCUUGUCCCCUCUAGGCUGUAUGCUUAGCCAACUCAUUCAUCCUAACACUAAUUUAAUUUUACUUUCCUUGCUCUAUAAGAAUUUUCUUUUUCACACUCAUUUUUUGUGCUACUGGGAGUAGGAAUUUGGUAAAAGCUCAAGUCCAGACUCUGUUGGAUGAAGUUUAAAGCUCUGGUUACUUUAAAUGAAGCUUUUGAUGAAAUAUAUGCAUACAUGUAUAAUAAACAUCAUAAAAAUAUUUCAG
rnacentral:lncRNA from 10 species